rnacentral:misc_RNA from 1 species
GGCGAAGUCAAAUCCGGAAAAGAAAAGUAAUGGCAGCGAAGGAGGGAGGCAGUGGGGAAGGUGGGUGGGAAGAGGCUGCCCAAAGCUACCCCAGCCGCGUCUCCCCACCACCACCACCAGCCCUUCUUCUACCCCCAACCCUCCCCCAACACCACACCAGCGCAGCGCCCUCUCCUACCCGACUCCCAGCUAGCCCCUCACGCGCUCGUCGGCGCCCUGUCGAGUCGAGCCCGCAUCUCGCCCGAUCGAGAGCGAGCGCAUCCGCGCGCCGGGGAGAGCUUUGCUUUCGGUGGUCUGUAACGACUCAACGACGACGGCAGGCGGUAGAUAAAGGCGCGCGAUGUGCGACGCGGCGCCGAGGUACAGGGGCGUGCGGAAGCGGCCGUGGGGCCGGUUCGCGGCGGAGAUCCGGGACCCGGCGAAGCGCGCGCGCGUCUGGCUCGGCACCUUCGACUCGGCCGAGGCCGCGGCGCGCGCCUACGACGUGGCCGCGCGGGCCCUGCGCGGCCCGCUCGCCAGGACCAACUUCCCCGCGCUCACCACCACCUCCCGCCGCCCCGCGCCCACGUGCAGCUCCGGCUCCACCGUCGAGUCCUCCAGCGGGCCCCGCGCCGGGGACCCCAGGGCCAGGGCGGCGCAUCGCGGCCGUGCUGCUGCGAAGCCGCGGCGGCCCCCACGGCAGGCGCCGCCGCCGCCCACCGACGCCGACUGCCACAGCGACUGCGCGUCGUCGGCCUCCGUCGUGGACGACGGCGACGACGCGUCCACGGUCCGGUCGCGCGCGCGCCCGUCGCUCGAUCUCAACCUCCCGGCGCCGCUCGACUUGGACGGUGGCCACGACCUCGGGUUCUGCACGGACCUGCGGCUCUGUCUCUGAGCGAUCGGAAUCGGAUCCACGGACGAGGCGGAUUCUGCUUUGACUUGUCGUGAGCUUGUAGCAGUAGUGCCAUGUACUACGCGAUACGAAUGGCAAUAGAAUUGGAUGAUGGUUCCUUUUCUUUAACGCUCUCCGGAUUCAUUCAGAGGUCAGUCAUCUCGUCGAGAGUUUCAGCCUUUUUUUCUCAUGUCUGGAUCUGAUUUGUAUCUUGCUGUCAUUCUGUAUGUACUUUGUACACCAGAAAACAUCUAAAAGAGAGAUGUUGGCGAACUAACACGAAUCUCUACCGCAAUUCUGAGUUUU